rnacentral:rRNA from 1 species
GAUGAACGCUGGCGGCGUGCCUAAUACAUGCAAGUCGAGCGAAUGGAUUAAGAGCUUGCUCUUAUGAAGUUAGCGGCGGACGGGUGAGUAACACGUGGGUAACCUGCCCAUAAGACUGGGAUAACUCCGGGAAACCGGGUCUAAUACCGGAUAAUAUUUUGAACUGCAUGGUUCAAAAUUGAAAGGCGGCUUCGGCUGUCACUUAUGGAUGGACCCGCGUCGCAUUAGCUAGUUGGUGAGGUAACGGCUCACCAAGGCAACGAGGCGUAGCCGACCUGAGAGGGUGAUCGGCCACACUGGGACUGAGACACGGCCCAGACUCCUACGGGAGGCAGCAGUAGGGAAUCUUCCGCAAUGGACGAAAGUCUGACGGAGCAACGCCGCGUGAGUGAUGAAGGCUUUCGGGUCGUAAAACUCUGUUGUUAGGGAAGAACAAGUGCUAGUUGAGUAAGCUGGCACCUUGACGGUACCUAACCAGAAAGCCACGGCUAACUACGUGCCAGCAGCCGCGGUAA